rnacentral:rRNA from 1 species
GCUAGCUACAGGCUUAACACAUGCAAGUCGAGGGGCAGCAUGGUCUUAGCUUGCUAAGGCCGAUGGCGACCGGCGCACGGGUGAGUAACACGUAUCCAACCUGCCGUCUACUCUUGGACAGCCUUCUGAAAGGAAGAUUAAUACAAGAUGGCAUCAUGAGUCCGCAUGUUCACAUGAUUAAAGGUAUUCCGGUAGACGAUGGGGAUGCGUUCCAUUAGAUAGUAGGCGGGGUAACGGCCCACCUAGUCUUCGAUGGAUAGGGGUUCUGAGAGGAAGGUCCCCCACAUUGGAACUGAGACACGGUCCAAACUCCUACGGGAGGCAGCAGUGAGGAAUAUUGGUCAAUGGGCGAGAGCCUGAACCAGCCAAGUAGCGUGAAGGAUGACUGCCCUAUGGGUUGUAAACUUCUUUUAUAAAGGAAUAAAGUCGGGUAUGGAUACCCGUUUGCAUGUACUUUAUGAAUAAGGAUCGGCUAACUCCGUGCCAGCAGCCGCGGUAAUACGGAGGAUCCGAGCGUUAUCCGGAUUUAUUGGGUUUAAAGGGAGCGUAGAUGGAUGUUUAAGUCAGUUGUGAAAGUUUGCGGCUCAACCGUAAAAUUGCAGUUGAUACUGGAUAUCUUGAGUGCAGUUGAGGCAGGCGGAAUUCGUGGUGUAGCGGUGAAAUGCUUAGAUAUCACGAAGAACUCCGAUUGCGAAGGCAGCCUGCUAAGCUGCAACUGACAUUGAGGCUCGAAAGUGUGGGUAUCAAACAGGAUUAGAUACCCUGGUAGUCCACACGGUAAACGAUGAAUACUCGCUGUUUGCGAUAUACAGCAAGCGGCCAAGCGAAAGCGUUAAGUAUUCCACCUGGGGAGUACGCCGGCAACGGUGAAACUCAAAGGAAUUGACGGGGGCCCGCACAAGCGGAGGAACAUGUGGUUUAAUUCGAUGAUACGCGAGGAACCUUACCCGGGCUUAAAUUGCAGAUGAAUUACGGUGAAAGCCGUAAGCCGCAAGGCAUCUGUGAAGGUGCUGCAUGGUUGUCGUCAGCUCGUGCCGUGAGGUGUCGGCUUAAGUGCCAUAACGAGCGCAACCCUUGUUGUCAGUUACUAACAGGUUCCGCUGAGGACUCUGACAAGACUGCCAUCGUAAGAUGUGAGGAAGGUGGGGAUGACGUCAAAUCAGCACGGCCCUUACGUCCGGGGCUACACACGUGUUACAAUGGGGGGUACAGAGGGCCGCUACCACGCGAGUGGAUGCCAAUCCCCAAAACCUCUCUCAGUUCGGACUGGAGUCUGCAACCCGACUCCACGAAGCUGGAUUCGCUAGUAAUCGCGCAUCAGCCACGGCGCGGUGAAUACGUUCCCGGGCCUUGUACACACCGCCCGUCAAGCCAUGGGAGCCGGGGGUACCUGAAGUGCGUAACCGCGAGGAGCGCCCUAGGGUAAAACUGG